CUGCAAGACAAGCUUUGCAAAUCCCACUUGAGAGCAAUGUGGUAUAAGUUGUUGGUUUGUGAAGACAGGUUUUAGACAAAGAACCAUGGUAUUUUCUGGAAGAUAUGUAAUGUUUUGAAGAGGAUGAGAUGAGGAAGUUGGGCCUCAGGAAUAUUAUCGAAUUUUCCCAAACUCAUCUGGUUAAUAAAUGUAUUUGAUUCAAAAGCCAUUCUGUUUCUACCACGUUGAAUUACCAAAACUUGCAGAAGAGAAUAUAAUCCUCAUCAUGUUUAAUUUCGAAAGAGACGGACUGGUAACAGAUAGUUUACAGCCGUAGCAGGAUUUCUUGUGUUUGUUGUUAAGAAACUUGAUAAGAAAGAUGGCUGCUCCCUAAAGGAAAGAAAAGGAACAAUUCAAAGCAAUAUGAACUUCAGGUAAGGUUGAGGCAGUGCCGAGCAGUGUCUGGAAAGAGAAUUCUCUAGACUAGAUUAAACAGAGUUGAAUCCAAUGAAGUGGGAACAUGGAAGGCCGCAGAAAAGCUGACAUAAAGCAGAGCAAAGGAACAGUAAAGACACUGGGAGCAGAGGUUGUGUUCAAAUGGGCACAGUCGGGGAUGAGUACCUCUAAGGAGCAUCAGUGGCCCCACACCAAUGAGGCCCGGCUCUCCUUCCCAAGUUGACCUAGGGGUGUUUGGUGAACAUCAGGGAAGAAUGUUUUGGGAAGCUCUCAGACAGGCUUCUCGGAGUCCGGUCAAGCUUUCAAGGCUGUUGCCAUUCCCAAAUGGAUCUUUUGUGAAACUCACCCAAAUCAGAAAGGUCACCUGAGGUCACAUUAUAGAGAGCUGGAAGAAGGACAUUUUUCCAAAUAAAAUUUAAAAAGUGUUUAUUUUUAAACUGUCCCUGUUCACUUGGACAAGUAUCUCCAAAUAAACCAAUGGGCUUUG